AGUGAACGCUGGCGGUAGGCCUAACACAUGCAAGUCGAACGGCAGCACAGUAAGAGCUUGCUCUUACGGGUGGCGAGUGGCGGACGGGUGAGGAAUACAUCGGAAUCUACUUUUUCGUGGGGGCUAACGUAGGGAAACUUACGCUAAUACCGCAUACGACCUACGGGUGAAAGCAGGGGAUCUUCGGACCUUGCGCGAUUGAAUGAGCCGAUGUCGGAUUAGCUAGUUGGCGGGGUAAAGGCCCACCAAGGCGACGAUCCGUAGCUGGUCUGAGAGGAUGAUCAGCCACACUGGAACUGAGACACGGUCCAGACUCCUACGGGAGGCAGCAGUGGGGAAUAUUGGACAAUGGGCGCAAGCCUGAUCCAGCCAUACCGCGUGGGUGAAGAAGGCCUUCGGGCUGUAAAGCCCUUUUGUUGGGAAAGAAAAGCAGCAGGUUAAUACCCCGCUGUUCUGACGGUAACCAAAGAAUAAGCACCGGCUAACUUCGUG
rnacentral:rRNA from 1 species